UAAACACAAGUGAUUUUACUGAUAAAUUGAUACAGUACUUUAUAAUGAUGCUUGUGGAUUCGCAAAACUGGUAAAAGCCUUUUUACGGAAUUACCAAAACUGGUAAAGAUUUGGCGACUCCGCUAGUUAAAAUGAGGCAAAACUGGGAGGAAAAGUUGUCAAUAAUGUCUACUACUUCACUUACCUGGCCCAAACACUCCCAGUUAUCAGCGCGGUCUAGCAGGACUAUAUCAUGACUUUUAUGUCUGAAUUUCUGUCACAAACUGAACUGCCUGGAGAGGUUUCCUGAAAGAAAGUAUGACCGAACUGUUAAACGCGAUUAUAUGCUUUUGAAUUUCAGUUUCAGGAAUAUUACAGCCACAGCCAAAAUCACUAAAUUUCAGUUUUCAUGCCGGACAGUAAUCAUCACUUGAAUUCGAUUAAAUCCAAUCAAAUAGUUUGAAAUUUUUAAAAACUCUUUUGAAUUUGUGUGAACUGCCUAAAAUAGUUUGACCAGAACCCAAUUAUUUCAGUACCUACUGAAAUGAUCCGAAUUUCUGAAAUUUUGUUGAAUGUGAAAACCAUUAAACUAGUUUCUGUCACCUGUUUUACCUUGAUACUUUAUUCACUUGUUCUGCCAUGCUCAUUUCCUCUUCUUGUUGUUGCUUUCAUGCAGAUGCCGUCACUCCGAUAACCUGUG
rnacentral:lncRNA from 1 species